AACGUAGGAGGCGAGCGUUAUCCGGAUUCACUGGGCGUAAAGCGCGCGUAGGCGGUCGGGUAAGUCGGAUGUGAAAGCCCCUGGCUCAACUGGGGGAGGCCAUUCGAUACUGCUCGGCUUGAGGGUGAGAGGGGAGAGUGGAAUUCCCGGUGUAGCAGUGGAAUGCGUAGAGAUCGGGAGGAACACCAGUGGCGAAGGCGGCUCUCUGGCUCACUCCUGACGCUGAGUGCGCGAAAGCGUGGGGAGCAAACGGG
rnacentral:rRNA from 1 species